rnacentral:lncRNA from 1 species
AAAAAAAAAAAUUUACUCUUCAUGCACGUAACAGUAAUACACCAUCGCGACCGGCAUGGAAAUAUCGCACUCCGCAAAUAUCAGCCACAUCACGUAUGAGGCUGAUGUGAAGGACAUCCAUCCACUAGAUUUUGCAUCUCCGGGGAGACGAACUGUCGGAGAGAAAGGAGAAGAAUUGCAAGGUGGAGGAAAAGGAGGCGGUAGAAAGAACCUUAGCUCCAUGCGAUGGAGAAUGGAGUGGAGGCUUAGAAGGAAUUCAAACAAGCUCUACAUUAAGAACAUGAAAUAGUAAGAGAAUGGGGAUAAUGGAUAAGAGGACUUCUCCAAUGAGAAAGUGGAGUAGAGAGAGCCACAGAGAGAGAAGGGAGAUGGGUUGAGGC